rnacentral:rRNA from 1 species
AUUGAACGCUGGCGGCAGGCUUAACACAUGCAAGUCGAGCGAGCGGCGGACGGGUGAGUAAUGUCUGGGAAACUGCCUGCUGGAGGGGGAUAACUACUGGAAACGGUAGCUAAUACCGCAUACCAUCAGAUGUGCCCAGAUGGGAGUAGCUAGUGGGUGGGGUAACGGCUCACCUAGGCGACGAUCCCUAGCUGGUCUGAGAGGAUGACCAGCAACACGGGAACUGAGACACGGCCCAGACUCCUACGGGAGGCAGCAGUGGGGAAUAUUGCACAAUGGGGGCAAGCCUGAUGCAGCCAUGCCGCGUGUGUGAAGAAGGCCUUCGGGUUGUAAAGCACUUUCAGCGGGGAGGCGGUACCCGCAGAAGAAGCACCGGCUAACUACGUGCCAGCAGCCGCGGUAAUAC